CUUCUCGUAGCGUAGCGGCAACGCGCCUGUCUAGUGAGUAGGAGUCGUGAGUUCGAGUCUCACCGAGCGGA
rfam:Aedes albopictus isolate Foshan contig94521, whole genome shotgun sequence.